UGAUGUGAGACAUUUUCAUCUGGCUGGUUGAAGAGUUUUUGUUAGUCCGUAAAUACGCUCUCAUAUAAUAUCCGUGAGAGAGAGGGGGCUUUCCUUCCAUGUGCGAACUUUGUGAUAACUCGACAGGAUGUCACAUCGAUAGCAAAUACAUACUCACUGUAUUCGUGUCUGCCUACAUAGUCUUUGUUUAUAAGUUAUAUAAAAUUACUAAAAUUAGAAAAAACAUCACUUUUUCAAACCGAAAGGAAAACGAGUUGGUGGUUUACACGAGUAUUGAAACGAAAGUGAAACAAGUAGAUUCGAGGUCUCAUCUUUUCGAGGUCUGCAGGAAGAGGAGGAGGAGGUCCGAAAACAAGUAAUACAAAGAAUGUCAUCCCUACUUAUUCCCGAAGAACAAGAAAUGUUUCAAUCCGAAUCUGACACAAGUAACCAUGUUAUCUAUAUAUGGAUGCCCGUUGGAGUCAGUCAGGUCGGACAUGCAUCGUUGUGCUGAGUAACGGUGUAUAUGUAAGCUGGUGGCCACAAGAUAAGAAAUCAAAAUGUGGGUUUAAGAAGAAAGAAAAUAAAUGCAAUAGUAGCCUGCAGGGAGACAUCAAAGAAGAGGGCAUGGAUCCUGACUACACGUUUAAGAUACCCUCCACAAAGUUAGACCUGACUGACUGAUAUGACAACCUUUUGGAAUAAACAAAAAAGCACGGGUCACUAUUCCUUACUGAAACAAAACUGUUGCUGGGUUGUGUACCGCGUCCUCCGUGCAGGCAGAUCCCCAAUGAGUCAAACAAUUCUUUGGAGACCAGAAACUUUACGGAGGUAUCUGGUCAUUUACCUGGGUGGUGGAUCAGGAUUUUUUACUUUUUUUAACAUGCCAGAUUGGGAUUUACGUUUCAAAGGUCAAAGCUGUGAAGAAAGCUUUGGCCUCAGCAGUAAAAAUUGAACUGGUGUCUGGUAUUCUUGAGGGAGACAGUUCUGGAUCCAAUGAUGGCACCAUCUGCCAGGGAGGAGAAGACAGAAGACGAAAAAAUCACACUGUAUACAUGGAAUGCCAGAGGUGGGAGGGAAAAACACCAGUCACUAUUGCUAGAUAACUCAGUAUAUGUAAGCUGUUGGCCCCGUCACUUAUUGUCAGAAGGACAUGCUUCGUGCAGCUUACAAGACGAUCGAAGAAAGAUGGGUAGAGUGGAAGAUGAGGCACAUAUCCUUCCUAAUAUGACGUUGGAGUACCACCUCAUGAGGAGACGCUGGAAGCAAAUGAUGACAGAGGAAACAUCGGAAAUGGGGGCAGCUAAGUCGGACUGGGUCAUACGACAAAUUCUGAUUGCAGGUGGCGCUCCUAUAUUACUGCGAAUAGGAAUAAUAUGAUGAUGCACACUUGACUUUCUGAAAAUAAUCAACAUAUGACACAUUCAUUGGAUGACUGGAUGCGGAACAAUACAUAGAUUUAUUACAGCUUCUGUUUUAAGUCUCCUGAAGUUUGUGACGUGUGCUGCAAAUAGACUUUUGUUGCAACUUUGUACUCGCAUCUAAAGCCAGUCAAUACUCGAUUUAGAAAUUAAUAACCUACGAGCAACGAGAGAUUAUAUGUGUCUUGUGAAUAAAUUUUGUAAAUUCUGA